UACGGAGGGGGCUAGCGUUGUUCGGAAUUACUGGGCGUAAAGCGCGCGUAGGCGGCUUUGUAAGUUAGAGGUGAAAGCCCAGGGCUCAACCCUGGAAUUGCCUUUAAGACUGCAUCGCUUGAACAUCGGAGAGGUAAGUGGAAUUCCGAGUGUAGAGGUGAAAUGCGUAGAUAUCUGGAGGAACACCGGUGGCGAAGGCGGCAUCCUGGACCAAUUCUGACGCUGAGUGAGCGAAAGCCAGGGGAGCAAACGGG
rnacentral:rRNA from 1 species